rnacentral:rRNA from 1 species
ACCAGGUUGAUUCUGCCUGACGUGGAAGCUAGCCUCAGAGAUUAAGCCAUGCAAGCCAGCGAAGGUUAACGGAGCGGCGUACGGCUCAGUAGGACAGGGAAAUCUAACCACUAAGGGGGAUAACCACGGUAAGCUGUGGCUAAAACACAAGUGGGUGAGUUCUUGGCCUAUCAGCUAGUUGGUACGGUAAGGGCGUACCGAGGCGAUAACGGGUAACGGGGAAUCAGGGUUUGGUUCCGGAGAG